CCUACGGGUGGCAGCAGUAGGGAAUAUUGCUCAAUGGGGGAAACCCUGAAGCAGCAACGCCGCGUGGGGGAUGAAGGUUUUAGGAUUGUAAACUCCUUUUGGGAGAGAGGAUAAUGACGGUAUCUCACGAAUAAGCACCGGCUAACUCCGUGACAGCAGCCGCGGUAAUACGGAGGGUGCAAGCGUUACUCGGAAUCACUGGGCGUAAAGAGUGCGCAGGCGGGACUGUAAGUCAGAUGUGAAAUCCUGUAGCUUAACUAGAGAACUGCAGUUGAAACUAUGAGUCUAGAGUGUGGGAGAGGUAGGUGGAAUUCGUGGUGUAGCGGUAAAAUCCGUAGAUAUCAAGAGGAAUACUGAUUGCGAAGGCGGCCUGCUGGAACAUUACUGACGCUCAUGCACGAAGGCGUGGGGAGCAAACAGGAUUAGAUACCCUAGUAGUC
rnacentral:rRNA from 1 species